rnacentral:rRNA from 1 species
UACGUAGGGUGCGAGCGUUGUCCGGAAUUAUUGGGCGUAAAGAGCUCGUAGGCGGCUUGUCGCGUCGGAUGUGAAAGCCCGGGGCUUAACUCCGGGUCUGCAUUCGAUACGGGCAGGCUAGAGUUCGGUAGGGGAGAUCGGAAUUCCUGGUGUAGCGGUGAAAUGCGCAGAUAUCAGGAGGAACACCGGUGGCGAAGGCGGGUCUCUGGGCCGUAACUGACGCUGAGGAGCGAAAGCAUGGGGAGCGAACAGG